rnacentral:piRNA from 1 species
UGACACAGUAGAUAAUUUCGGCUUUGUU